CGGAAAUAUAAAAAAAGAAAUUUUAUAGCAAACCGUUUCGUUGAGACAUCCUCUUCAUGGUAUACGUUUAGAUGAAGGAUAAAAGGUUACACAAUGAAUUAAAAGAGUUUGUAAUAGGUAACACUUAUUUGCUUAUUAUUCUUUAACACUAUAAAAAUUAUUUAUUAUCUAUAUAGAAUGAUAAAAUCACAGAUAUGUAUGAAAUUGUUAAAUACGACAGAUGGAAGCAACAAUUAUUUUAUGGUUAAAAGAUUUGUUCGAUUAAUUUAAUGGCGCGACACGACCGAAUUAAUUUCUUUCGAUGAUUCGAUAUGAAGUUAUUAGUUCUACUGAACUUUUCCAUAGUUUACGAACAUGGAUAUUAACUACAUUUAAGAACAUCACAUGAUCACUUGUUGUACCUCACGGCUUCACCCGGUUACUUUGCUUUUAAUAAAUAUCUCUUAGACCAACAUUAAAUUUUCGACUGUAGGCCAGUUGAAGGACGGUUUCUAAAACUACUCAAAGGGCCUCAUUUUCACGUGUUUAUUAUUUCUUACGUUAAAAGCAAUUGCGUGCGUCUACGGUUUGGUGUUCUGAACACUACUGGAUCCAUGCAGGUUUUCGAAGCGUCGCGACGCCUCUGUGGUCGGCGUGUGCGCGGUUUGCACGAGAAUUCGCCUUACGGAAAACCGUGCAGAUGCAAAGAUUGCCCCGCAAAGAGUAGACUAUUUGAUCGCGAACCUGAUACCAUUCUGUUACCUUCAGCUUAUGAAUUGCAUUGCAUUCGAGGGAAAACUGGAGGAAUGCCGAGUGAGUGUUAGUUCUUGACAACGCAGCACGAGUGAGCCAGAAAUGGACGGAACGAUGCUCGAGGUACCACAGGAUAACGUAAAGUUCAAACGAUGUGCGGAGCUAAGUAAAUUAAACCAUUAUAAGGUCGAAAAAAGCACCCCCGGAUGUUCCCUUAGGGAGUCAGACCAGGCGUUAAAUCUUGACAGCAUGAUGUAUUUUUCCCGGGGCAUUUUCGCCAUCUUGACCCGGUAAGUAAAGCUUUUUAAAAAAAGUAAAAUGGGAUACGAACAAUUAACUUUCUUGUUGGCUUCUUUCACCAUCUACAUUAAAGAAAAAACUAAUAAAUAAUUAAUCUUUGCGAA